UCUAUAGUAGCUCAGUGGUAGAGCUAUCGGCUGUUAACCGAUCGGUCGUAGAUUCAAGUCCUACCUAUGGGA
rnacentral:tRNA from 1 species